CCUGCGGAACGGGCCCCUCUGGCGUCUUCGCGAUCCGGCGUAUCCCUUCGCCGCAUCGUAUCGACGCGAUGUCGGACCGCACGG
rfam:Caulobacterales bacterium RIFCSPHIGHO2_12_FTLL_68_13 rifcsphigho2_12_scaffold_5048, whole genome shotgun sequence.